CUUUGUCUCUUGCCGCUGCCGCCGCCGCUUUCCCCUCCUCCCACCCACCCUUCUCUCGCUCUCCGGUGCGUCUCUCCCCUUCCUCCUCUCUCUUCAUCCCUGCUUUGCCCCCUCUCCCAGACUCCAAGCGCUGCCGCAGCUGCAGGUUUGUAAAUACUCUACCAACACACACACAUACAACAUGGCUGACGUUCGCCCUGCUCCUCUGCCGGGCUCUCCGCCUUCUCCUUCUGCCUCUGCCGCUUAAGCCUCUCCUCCAUGUAGGCUUUGUUUCUUCCCCUCCCUCCUACAAGACGCCCUUAACAAAAAAAAAAACAAAAAACAAAAAAAAAAAAAAAGGAAAAAAACAGUUCACCCUCCUUGGUUGCACGCAUGGUGGGAUUUCAAGGUUGCCAAAUUGUGCUCUUUGAUGUCUUGAUGUCUGUAAAUACCCAGAUGAUGCUAUAGCUGUUCCAAAGUGUUUAGGGUGUGUCUUCUACUUUUGAGGAAGAACAAAUUCAUGAUCAAAUAGUGGAUUAAGUAGCUGUUUCUCUUUGAAGAGUGAGAUCUCCUGAGAGCUGGGAAGAACUGGAUUUUCACCCUAGUCCAGCAGCUUUGCUGCUCACUUAAACACAGAUGAAUGAAGACCCCAUUUGGAAAAUCACCAGGUCAGCGAUCCAGAGCUGAUGCAGGUAAGCCUCCUUUUCAGGUU